rnacentral:rRNA from 1 species
CCUACGGGUGGCAGCAGUGAGGAAUAUUGGUCAAUGGCCGGAAGGCUGAACCAGCCAAGCCGCGUGAGGGAGGAAGGCGCAGAGCGUCGCAGACCUCUUUUGCCGGGGGCAAAAAGGCCGGACUCGUCCGGUCCUGAGGGUACCCGGAGAAAAAGCAUCGGCUAACUCCGUGCCAGCAGCCGCGGUAAUACGGAGGAUGCGAGCGUUAUCCGGAUUCAUUGGGGGUAAAGGGAGCGUAGGCGGUUUAGCAAGUCAGAAGUGAAAGCCCGGGGCUCAACUCCGGGACUGCUUUUGAAACUGUUGAACUAGAUUGCAGGAGAGGUAAGUGGAAUUCCUAGUGUAGCGGUGAAAUGCGUAGAUAUUAGGAGGAACACCAGUGGCGAAGGCGGCUUACUGGACUGUAAAUGACGCUGAGGCUCGAAAGCGUGGGGAGCAAACAGGAUUAGAUACCCUAGUAGUC